rnacentral:misc_RNA from 1 species
GAAUUAGUUCCAGUUCUACUCGAUCAUCGGACGUUGCUGCAUCAUCGCCAUUUAACAAGACGUCGAUAUAGCAGUUCUAAAAAAAACUGUAUAAUAGGCGCUCAGAAAUCUUGAGCACGAUUUAUCUUUGCCGUAUCUUUGGUUUAUUUAUUUAAACUUUGAACUUUAUUCACCUACAUAUUACGGAUGAAACAUUUCGCUCUUUGCAGGACUCGGAUUAUAGAUGCAGUAUGGGACUCAGGUACAGAAUUCAAGAACAAAAGUGUGACAAGGUGCUCAACUAAUUAAUUUACAACGCAAGCGACACGUUCGCCUUCGAUUAAUGCUCGAUGUAUCAUCAUCAGUAUCACCUACAAAUUAUAGUGGUACAAGGCAAUAAAUCAAGCAUUUAAAUCUCCUAUAUCAAAUCUAUAUUAAUAGUCAA